ACCAAAUCACCUCAACCUAUUGGCGAACACAAUUUUUUUAAUCUGACAUCACAGCGGAAUGUCAUCAAGUGCGUACAUUGAAGCUGUGGUAACGACAAUGUCUACCCCACCACCCAAGAUAUCUAACGAGCCAGUCAGUCAAGUGGAAAGUCCGCUGCUAGGUCCAGAAAACACGAUCGUAUCGUGCCCGUACUGCCACGCGUCAGUCAAAACUGCAGUAAAGUACAGAACCACAAGCAGGACGCACAUGGCCGCGGCACUUUGUACUUUUGCCUGUUGCUGUUGUUGCAUUCCGUACUGUUCUGAUUCAGCGAAGAACUCGGAUCAUUACUGUCCCAACUGUUCCCGCUACCUGGGCACCUACGAGAAAUAAUACGCCCGGACCAAAUACUAAUAACGAAUGUGACGAGUCUUGUAUUUAUCACUAACAUCUCAUUUAUAAGAUCUUGCUCUUAGACAACAAAAAAAAAAUAGUCCAGGUUUAUUAGUGUACGUGUGCGUGCCAA